GCGGAGGAUUGGAUGGCCGAGGCAGGGUUCGCCCUGUCUAGGAAAGUCCGGACUCCAUCAAGGCACGGUGCCGGGUAACGCCCGGGCGGGGUAACCCGACGGACAGCGCCACAGAGAACAGACCGCCCAGUAUACUGGGUAAGGGUGAAACGGUGGAGUAAGAGCCCACCGCAGCGGUGGUAACAUCGCUGGCAUGGCAAGCCCUACCGGGAGCAAUGCCAAAUAGGGGCCGCGUGGGGAAACCCAGGAUCGUCUUGAUCCGAGCAGGUCCGGGUUGGCAGCUAGAGGGCAUAUGGCAACAUAUGCUUGAGAUGAAUGGUCAUCGAAGUUGGGGCUAUGGCCUCAACGGAACAAAAUCCGGCUUAUAGAUCCUCCGCGUAU
rnacentral:RNase_P_RNA from 1 species